rnacentral:rRNA from 1 species
GACCCUAUAGAGUUUAAUAUUUAAUUAAUAAAUUAUUUUUUAGAAUUUAAUAUUAAUUUAUUUAUUAAAUAUUUGAUUGGGGUGAUUGAAAAAUUUAAGUAACUUUUUUUAUAUAUAAACAUUAAUAUAUGACUAUUUGAUCCAUUAUUUAUGAUUACAAGAUUAAAUUACCUUAGGGAUAACAGCGUAAUUUUUUUUAAGAGUUCAAAUCGAAAGAAAAGAUUGCGACCUCGAUGUUGGAUUAAAAUUUAUUUUUGGUGUAGAAGCUAAAUUAAUUGGGUCUGUUCGACCUUUAAAAUUUUACAUGAUCUGA